rnacentral:rRNA from 1 species
UCCCUACGGGGCGCAGCAGUGGGGAAUAUUGCACAAUGGGGGAAACCCUGAUGCAGCGACGCCGCGUGAGUGAAGAAGUAUUUCGGUAUGUAAACCUCUUUUGCCGGGGAGCAAAAAGCGGUACGUGUACCGCAUCGAGAGUACCCGGAGAAAAAGCAUCGGCUAACUCCGUGCCAGCAGCCGCGGUAAUACGGAGGAUGCGAGCGUUAUCCGGAUUUAUUGGGUUUAAAGGGUGCGCAGGCGGCGAGUUAAGUCAGCGGUAAAAUUUCGGGGCUCAACCCCGACGAGCCGUUGAAACUGGCUUG